GACGGAAGGCAAAUAUUUACAGUUUGGAACAGCCGAAGACCAUGAAAUGAUGCAGUAUAUACAAUAAGUGAUGUUUCAGAGAACAAAUGAGAGAAGUCCUGGAACUGGUACACUUGUUGCUGAUGGUCAGAUACAAUUCCAGGUUAGAUCCAGGGGCCGACACGCUUGUCAGAUGUGUCAUUGAUGAUUCCCUGAACAUCGCAGAUAUGAUCUGAUUUGGUGACAUGACAGUGGAAUUGGUAGUGACUGGAUUUUUAGUGUGCCCUGGUUUUGAACUAUUGAAGUAACCAAACUAGAAACAUCUUCUGAGAACUCUGACUGCAAUUCUAAUGAUGAAACUCUGUCUACACUUGUGAAAAUGUAAAAGGAGUUGGCUCUACCUCGUGGCCUUUCAGGUUCAGUGCUCUCAUCUAACUUUUUCUUUUUCCAGCUGGGUAACUGAUAUCAAUUUUAAUUUUCUUGAGAUUUUGACUUCAACAUAAGUUUAGUUUUAAUUUUGAUAGGACUUUCAAAUCUGGUUUCAUUUUUAGAGCAGUGUAUUAUAUAAAGAAACUAUACUGCUUGAACUAUAAGUCUCUGCUCUUAUAGUGAUAUGAUUAUGAACUCCUUUAAAAAUAUUUUAUAUAUACAGUCAAAUAUAAAGUUCAGAAUAGUCACUUAUCUUCUAUACUUACAUGUUAAAAUUGCUCAUACACAUCGUCCACAUAUGGAUGCAGAAUAAUUACCCUUUUUCAUUCAUUUGAUUCGCAUGUUUUCAUUUUGCUUGGUGCUAUCUAAAAAACAGAAACACUGCAUAUUUCUACAUUUAAAAUAAAACUGAAUGUUAUUAGCUGUAUUGUGCUUAAAUGAAUUGUGUUAAUACUACAUAUUCUUUAAUAAUAACAAUCAUACAAUUUAGACUGACAUGCAUUGUGAAACUCGAUAGCUGCAUGAUAUAUUACUAGUAAGGAUGUAGGGGUGAAAAUCAUAUUAGGUUUUUGUAAAUUCAUUUUCAAAAGCCAAAUGUAUUAAUACAGACACCCCCCCCCCCCUCCUCUUCCAUGAGGUAAUGUUUUAUUGGUUUAUCAGGGGUGUGAGAAUUCUUAAGCUGAUUUUAGUUAUUUUUUUUGCUUUUUAUUUUAAGCUUGAUAUCCCCCAUUUCUGUACAAUAGUUUGAGAGCUCAUUCAAUUUAAUCCCCCAACUCUUUACAGAAUUUUCAGGUCUUUAUUUGUCAUCGCUCACACACCUGGUUCAUGCAGUUGAUGUGUCGUAAUUUUAUUCCAGAAAAUCCAACUGUUAGAUUUUGUUAUUCACGAAAGAAGUAAUACAUGAUUAUGUUUAGCUGGAGGUUAAAGAUACACUGCAGCACAUGUUCUUCUGUCUAUUUUUAGU